rnacentral:rRNA from 1 species
GACGAACGCUGGCGGCGUGCUUAACACAUGCAAGUCGAGCGGUAAGGCCCUUUCGGGGGUACACGAGCGGCGAACGGGUGAGUAACACGUGGGUGACCUGCCUUCAGCUCUGGGAUAAGCCUGAGAAAUUGGGUCUAAUACCGGAUAUGACCUUCUGCCGCAUGGUGGGGGGUGGAAAGAUUUGUUUUGGCUGGAGAUGGGCCCGCGGCCUAUCAGCUUGUUGGUGGGGUGAUGGCCUACCAAGGCGA